UUCUGGUCACAUGAAGCCUGUAAACCUCAAGCUCCCAGGGACCUGAAUGCAUUCCAAGAGGCCGACCCAGCAGCCCUGAAGCUCCAGCUGAGGGCCUGGCAGUCCCAGCCCUACGUUGCUGGGCAGAGGACACAGGCAUUUCCGAAGCAGCUUGGCCUCCUGCCAGUGGGUCUCCAGAUGCCAUGCAAGACACACCUGAACAGGGGUCCAGCCUGUUCACCACUUCCUGCUCAGCCAACGCAGCUGUUCUGCCGGCCCCGGGGCAGUCGCAGUAAGAGGCCCAUUUCCGGGGGUAGGAGCCAGCCACUCUCUGGGCACGACAGUCUGACUCUCUCCUCUCCCCCAAGGGGAGUCUCAUGAUUUGCAUCUUACGGACAGAAACUGAAGACACUCAACCCCAGUCACAGAAGCAUGGGUAAGUAAAGAGCAGCAGAGGAGGCACAACCCGGAGUGGCGGAUGGAGAGAGUCCUGAAGUGUCCCUGAGGACACGGGAGCAGUGUUCUCCGUGGGACACCCAGAAAUAUAGAUGCGUUUUCUGUGGCACAGGCGGAAGGAAGCACCCUGAGGGAGACAGCAUUAAAAACUACGGAAAAGAAGCAUAAAGCCACAGGCCAUGCACUUAUAAAUGGUUACAAUGGGAAACUUUGUUAGGUGCAUUGUAUCGCAAUUUUAAGUCUUCCUGAUAUAAGCAGAGCCAGGUGGGUCUACACGGUGAGAUCCAGGACAGGCAGGGUCUUAACUGGAUAUUUCUGACAUAAUAAGAUGGUUGAGGGGCAGUACGAGGAUUUCCCCAUUGUUUGGGGUCACCUGAAAGGCAAAAUGCUCCAAAUGCAGACUCAGCCACAAUGUGUUAAGUCUCUGAUUCAAGUCUACAGGCAAAAAUAAAAAGCAGGAGGGAGGUGGGUAGAAGAGAGAGGAGGCCCCAGGACUCUCGGCAGGGAGCAUCAGAGGAUCCAGGAGCAUGGGGAGGCCGGCUGGCUUCCUGUCAUGCCUCAACAAAGCCACGGAACACAGCAACUUGAGAUGCAAGGAGGGACUCCGUCCCACUUGGAGAAAACUGGCCAGAAAGAACAAAGAGAACACAGACAGCUGCUGGGAGCCCUCAGAGAGGCCCAGGAAGGUCACAGUGUCCUGCAGGAGCGCUGGUCAAGUGAAGAAAUGCCCUGACCAUUGACAGCUCUGACGUCACCACACCUACAAACCGGGAGAAAAGACCAUUUCUUGCUUUAGGCAGAGAGCCACUCAGUGCACAGUGAGGCUUUCCAAAAACCCUCUUGUGCUCAGCUCUCAGAACCUUUGCUCCAGGCUAGCCUCCUUUUCGUAGACCAGCAUGACCCACUCCAUGUUACACAGGUCGGAGAAACAGGUCUCUCUCUGACCUACAUCAAUAACUUGGAGGCUGUGCUGUGUUUAAUACAGGUAUACCGGCUCCGGGUCUGGGUGCUCCCUCUAUGACACUAUCAGAAAAAUAAAAGCUCACUGUUAGGAAGGGAAA